CCAUGUUAGAAAGAAGCUCCGCGUGAUAUGGCCUGUCGACGCCAGUGACUUGCAGGAAAUUAGCGUAGAGCGGCUCGUCGAGCACCUCCAUGCACGGACCUGGGUGAAUGAGUACAUGAUGCUGGUGCUGAGGGAGGCGACGCCGAACACGCGUGAAUCACCACCGGC
rnacentral:sRNA from 1 species